rnacentral:rRNA from 1 species
GAGUAAUGCCUAGGAAUCUGCCUGGUAGUGGGGGACAACGUUUCGAAAGGAACGCUAAUACCGCAUACGUCCUACGGGAGAAAGCAGGGGACCUUCGGGCCUUGCGCUAUCAGAUGAGCCUAGGUCGGAUUAGCUAGUUGGUGAGGUAAUGGCUCACCAAGGCUACGAUCCGUAACUGGUCUGAGAGGAUGAUCAGUCACACUGGAACUGAGACACGGUCCAGACUCCUACGGGAGGCAGCAGUGGGGAAUAUUGGACAAUGGGCGAAAGCCUGAUCCAGCCAUGCCGCGUGUGUGAAGAAGGUCUUCGGAUUGUAAAGCACUUUAAGUUGGGAGGAAGGGCAUUAACCUAAUACGUUAGUGUUUUGACGUUACCGACAGAAUAAGCACCGGCUAACUCUGUGCCAGCAGCCGCGG